UACGUAGGGGGCUAGCGUUGUCCGGAAUCAUUGGGCGUAAAGAGCGUGUAGGCGGUCCGGUAAGUCCGCUGUGAAAGUCGGGGGGCUCAACCCUCGAAUGCCGGUGGAUACUGUCGGGCUAGAGUGCGGAAGAGGCGAGUGGAAUUCCUGGGUGUAGCGGUGAAAUGCGCAGAUAUCAGGAGGAACACCCGUGGCUAAGGCGGUUCUCCUAGUACGGUACUGACGCUGAGACGCGAAAGGCGUGGGAGGCGAACAGG
rnacentral:rRNA from 1 species